ACAGUCCAGCCCAAGCGUGCAAGGCGCGGAGAGGUUUUUGGCAACCCGGAAAUGACAGAACACCAACUCGCCGCUCCGAAAAGAUUACUUCCUACCAACGGCAGAGGAAACCUGGUCAUCUUUCUUAGGUUGGAAAAGUCUUGGAUUGAAAAGGGAAUGGAUCCAUACCUGGCUCAGGUGGAAUUCCUGCAUUUAUUUGAUCUGGCUAAUGCAAACUUAGGAGUAACAUGGCAAUAGUGACUUGAUGAGGAAUCCAGUGAAGCUGAGUAACAAGUU